rnacentral:rRNA from 1 species
GGAUAACCUACCCUUAGGACCGGGAUAACCCUGGGAAACUGGGGAUAAUACUGGAUAGGCAAUUUUUCCUGUAAUGGUUUUUUGUUUAAAUGUUUUUUCGCCUAAGGAUGGGUCUGCGGCCGAUUAGGUAGUUGGUUAGGUAAUGGCUUACCAAGCCGUCGAUCGGUACGGGUUGUGAGAGCAAGAGCCCGGAGAUGGAACCUGAGACAAGGUUCCAGGCCCUACGGGGUGCAGCAGGCGCGAAACCUCCGCAAUGUGAGAAAUCGCGACGGGGGGAUCCCAAGUGCCAUUCUUAACGGGAUGGCUUUUCAUUAGUGUAAAGAGCUUUUGGAAUAAGGGCUGGGCAAGACCGGUGCCAGCCGCCGCGGUAACACCGGCAGCUCUAGUGGUAGCAGUUUUUAUUGGGCCUAAAGCGUCCGUAGCCGGUUUAAUAAGUCUCUGGUGAAAUCCUGUAGCUUAACUGUGGGAAUUGCUGGAGAUACUAUUAGACUUGAGACCGGGAGAGGUUAGAGGUACUCCCAGGGUAGAGGUGAAAUUCUGUAAUCCUGGGAGGACCGCCUGUUGCGAAGGCGUCUAACUGGAACGGUUCUGACGGUGAGGGACGAAAGUUAGGGGCGCGAACCGGAUUAGAUACCCGGGUAGUCCUAACUGUAAACGAUGCGGACUUGGUGUUGGGGUGGCUUUGAGCUGCUC